GAUGAACGCUGGCGGCGUGCCUAAUACAUGCAAGUCGAGCGAACAGACGAGGAGCUUGCUCCUCUGACGUUAGCGGCGGACGGGUGAGUAACACGUGUAUAACCUACCUAUAAGACUGGUAUAACUUCGGGAAACCGGAGCUAAUACCGGAGAAUAUAUUGCACCGCAUGGUUCAAUAGUGAAAGACGGUUUUGCUGUCACUUAUCGAGGGAUCCGCGCCGCAUUAGCUAGUUGUUAAGUUAACGGCUUACCAAGGCAACGAUGCGUAGCCGACCUGAGAGGGUGGUAGGCCACACUGGAACUGAGACACGGUCAAGACUCCUACGGGAGGCAGCAGUAGGGAAUCUUACGCAAUAGGCGAAAGCAUGACGGAGCAACGCCGCGUGAGUGACGAAGGCCUUCGGAUCGUAAAACUCUGUUAUUAGUGAAGAACAAAUGUGUCAGUAGCUAUGCCCGUCUUGACGGUACCUAAUAAGAAAGCCCCGGCUAACUACGUG
rnacentral:rRNA from 1 species